rnacentral:rRNA from 1 species
AGUCGAACGGCAGCACGGACUUCGGUCUGGUGGCGAGUGGCGAACGGGUGAGUAAUGUAUCGGAACGUGCCUAGUAGCGGGGGAUAACUACGCGAAAGCGUAGCUAAUACCGCAUACGCCCUUCGGGGAAAGCGGGGGGACCUUUCGCCUCUUCGCACUAUUAGAGCGGCCGAUAUCAGAUUAGCUAGUUGGUGGGUAACGGCUCACCACAAGGCGACGAUCCGUAGCUGGUUUGAGAGGACGACCAGCCACACUGGGACUGAGACACGGCCCAGAUCUACGGGAGGCAGCAGUGGGGAAUUUGGACAAUGGGGAAACCCUGAUCCAGCCAUCCCGCGUGUGCGAUGAAGGCCUUCGGGUUGUAAAGCACUUUUGGCAGGAAGAAAACGGCGGCCGGAUAAUACCCCGUGCAACUGACGGUACCUGCAGAAUAAGCACCGGCUAACUACGUGCCAGCAGCCGCGGUAAUACGUAGGGUGCAAGCGUUAAUCGGAAUUACUGGGCGGGAAGCGUGCGCAGGCGGUUCGGAAAGAAAGAUGUGAAAUCCCAGAGCUUAACUUUGGAACUGCAUUUUUAACUACCGAGCUAGAGUGUGUCAGAGGGAGGUGGAAUUCCGCGUGUAGCAGUGAAAUGCGUAGAUAUGCGGAGGAACACCGAUGGCGAAGGCAGCCUCCUGGGAUAACACUGACGCUCAUGCACGAAAGCGGGAGCAAACAGGAUUAGAUACCCUGGUAGUCCACGCCCUAAACGAUGUCAACUAGCUGUUGGGGCCUUCGGGCCUUGGUAGCGCAGCUAACGCGAAGUUGACCGCCUGGGGAGUACGGUCGCAAGAUUAAAACUCAAAGGAAUUGACGGGGACCCGCACAAGCGGUGGAUGAUGUGGAUUAAUUCGAUGCAACGCGAAAACCUUACCUACCCUUGACAUGUCUGGAAUCCCGAAGAGAUUUGGGAGUGCUCGCAAGAGAACCGGAACACAGGUGCUGUAUGGCUGUCGUCAGCUCGUGUCGUGAGAUGUUGGGUUAAGUCCCGCAACGAGCGCAACCCUUGUCAUUAGUUGCUACGAAAGGGCACUCUAAUGAGACUGUCGGUGACAAACCGGAGGAAGGUGGGGAUGACGUCAAGUCCUCAUGGCCCUUAUGGGUAGGGCUUCACACGUCAUACAAUGGUCGGGACAGAGGGUCGCCAACCCGCGAGGGGGAGCCAAUCCCAGAAACCCGAUCGUAGUCCGGAUCGCAGUCUGCAACUCGACUGCGUGAAGUCGGAAUCGCUAGUAAUCGCGGAUCAGCAUGUCGCGGUGAAUACGUUCCCGGGUCUUGUACACACCGCCCGUCACACCAUGGGAGUGGGUUUUACCAGAAGUAGUUAGCCUAACCGUAAGGAGAGGGCGAUUACCACGGUAGGAUUCAUGACUGGGGUGAAGUCGUAACAAGGUAG